rnacentral:rRNA from 1 species
ACUCCUACGGGAGGCAGCAGUAGGGAAUCUUCCACAAUGGGCGCAAGCCUGAUGGAGCAACACCGCGUGAGUGAAGAAGGGUUUCGGCUCGUAAAGCUCUGUUGCUAAAGAAGAACACGUAUGAGAGUAACUGUUCAUACGUUGACGGUAUUUAACCAGAAAGUCACGGCUAACUACGUGCCAGCAGCCGCGGUAAUACGUAGGUGGCAAGCGUUAUCCGGAUUUAUUGGGCGUAAAGAGAAUGCAGGCGGUUUUCUAAGUCUGAUGUGAAAGCCUUCGGCUUAACCGGAGAAGUGCAUCGGAAACUGGAUAACUUGAGUGCAGAAGAGGGUAGUGGAACUCCAUGUGUAGCGGUGGAAUGCGUAGAUAUAUGGAAGAACACCAGUGGCGAAAGGCGGCUACCUGGUCUGCAACUGACGCUGAGACUCGAAAGCAUGGGUAGCGAACAGGAUUAGAUACCCUGGUAGGAUAGCG